AUUGAACGCUGGCGGCAUGCCUAACACAUGCAAGUCGCACGCGAAAGGGGGCAACCCUGAGUAGAGUGGCGGGCGGGUGAGUAACGCGUAGGAAUCUACCUGGUAGUGGGGGACAACCCGGUGAAAACCGGGCUAAUACCGCCUACGAGCCACCGAAGAAAGCCGGGGACCGCAAGGCCUUGCGCUAUCAGAUGCACCUGCGUCGGAUUAGCUAGUUGGUGGGGUAAAGGCCCACCAAGGCGACGAUCCGUAGCUGGUUUGAGAGAACAGACCAGCCACACUGGGACUGAGACACGGCCCAGACUCCUACGGGAGGCAGCAGUGGGGAAUAUUGGACAAUGGGGGCAACCCUGAUCCAGCAAUGCCGCGUGUGUGAAGAAGGCCUUCGGGUUGUAAAGCACUUUCGGUGGGGACAAACAAGGUGGAGCUAACAUCUCCGCCUCUGAUGGUACCCAAAGAAGAAGCACCGGCUAACUCUGUGCCAGCCGCCGCCGUAA
rnacentral:rRNA from 1 species